rnacentral:rRNA from 1 species
UAGACGACGCUGGCGGCAGGCCUAACACAUGCAAGUCGUACGAGAAGGUUCCUUCGGGAACUGGAGAGUGGCGCACGGGUGAGUAACGCGUGGGGACCUACCUCUUAGUGGGGGAUAACGGUUGGAAACGACCGCUAAUACCGCAUACGCCCUUUUGGGGAAAGAUUUAUCGCUAAGAGAUGGACCCGCGUUGGAUUAGCUAGUUGGCGAGGUAACGGCUCACCAAGGCAUCGAUCCAUAGCUGGUUUGAGAGGAUGAUCAGCCACACUGGGACUGAGACACGGCCCAGACUCCUACGGGAGGCAGCAGUGGGGAAUAUUGGACAAUGGGGGCAACCCUGAUCCAGCCAUGCCGCGUGAGUGAAGAAGGCCUUCGGGUUGUAAAGCUCUUUCAGAUGCGAAGAUGAUGACGGUAACAUCAGAAGAAGCCCCGGCUAAUUUCGUGCCAGCCGCCGGUAAUUCAAGCCGAAU